rnacentral:lncRNA from 1 species
CAAGACUUAUUUUCUUUCUACUAUGCCCUAAAGCAAGCAGGAGACCGUCGACAUCCCUGCUUGCCGAUCAAGGGCUAUUUGGCCAUUUUAGUCUAGCUGUAUAUUGAAUUGUCUAUUCUGACGCUUAUGGGUGAACUGAAUUCUAAUUAGAAUAUGGAUUUUAAGGUCAAUUUGACCUAUCCCACCUAGCAGUCACCGCUAAUGAUAUUGCCUUUAGGUAUUUUGCAUCAUAUUUCAAGCGUUAAUCACCAGAUUUCAUCUUACUUUACUCUGUUCCAUCGUCUUUCCCUACUGCGUUUCUUCUGCAAUCGUAGUUUUCUCUGCUCUAUCGUCUUUCCCUGUUGUACUUCUUCUCCAACAGUUCUCGAUUUCUCUUCGGGAUUCUCUUCUGUGAAUAAUAUUUCUGGUGAGUCUUUGUGUAGUAUUGCAUUGCCCUUUUUCUGUUUGAUUUGCUUCUUGUUUAGUCGGUUUUUACUGAACAUAUAUAUGUAUAGUAGAAAUUGUUUGUGAUUCUGUUGGUUCUUGAAUAGAAUAGUCUAGGGUGUCAAUUUGAACCCAAAUUUAUUUGACCUCUUCAAGGCUAGGAUUCUCAUUGACUUGUCUAUUUGUUGAACCCGGUCCAUCUUGACCUAAUUAUUUCAGGCCAUCUAAAGUUUGGCAGAUUUUUAGCCCAAAUUGAGUUCUUAGUAACUGUAAAAAUAGCACGGGUUAGCCAGUUUUUUGACUGUUCACUCAAAAAUAGUCAGUAUUUGCAUAGUCAUUGAAAAAUAGCCAUUAUUUUACUAGAACACAAAAAAUUUCAGCAUAAUAUACUGGAGAUGUGUGCACUUGUGUGUGAACUUACAGCAUAUUAUGCUAGAACUCCAAUAUGCAAAAAGUUCCAGCGUAAUAUACUGGAGAUUGGAGCACCGAUAUAUUAUAACUCCAAUAUAAUUAUGUUGUACUUUCCGAAUUUUGAUCAUUGUUUUCGUUCAGAUUUAUCUUUACAUGAAAAGUGGCUAAAUUUAGAUUACUUUUGAAACUGUGGCUAUUUUUGAAUGACCGCUUAUAAAUUUGGAUAUUUUGAAUUUCUCCCCGACUAAUUUUGCUAAAAUAUCUUUAAAAUAUAUGUUAAACAUGACCAUAACAAAAGAAGAAGAAAAAGUCUUAUUUGAUUAUUAACAACGGAUAAGAAAACAAUACACAUUAAUUGAAGUUUAAUAAGAGUUAGGCGGGUUGGGCUACGACUCAAAUUUUAGCCCAAUUUGGUCCAACUUUUGGGUGGGUCCAUAACCCCCAUUUAUUGACUUAGCCAUUUUCACCCACUCAAAUUAGAGGCAUUUGCAUAUAUACACGUUUUUUGUGUCGCAUUUUAAAUUGUGCCCUUUUUGCAAAAAAAUUACAAAUGUACCCGAUUUUUCACAUAACUUCAGCACAUGGGGCUGAAGUGGCAAAGGCAAUCACAAAAACUUAAGUAUUUUAGUAGUUGGGAGUUUGUUAGUUAUAAAAUAAAAAAGUUUUUGUUUAGUAACCCAAAAACUUAAGCUCUAGAGCUCAGUGGGCUCUUUCACCUAGAUAUUGUAAUAAGCUAGGUUGCUUGAAACCCAAGCCUAUUAUAACAUAUUUAAAUUUUGGAAUUGUUUGUGAUUUGGUUAGUAUUAAGCUUAUACUGGCUCUUUUAUAUUCCUUUUUCAAGGAACAUAAUUUUGUUUUAUUGUUUAGAAUUCGGUGGGCGACGAUUUUGGUUAGAAUGUGUAAUAAUGUUUUCAUCCUUCUCCUUUCUUUUUGUGCCUACUUUCGUUGUUCAAGGAGAGAGAUGGCGAUGUUAUUUGAUAACCUUUUAAAUGGUUGACCAGUUCAUUCUACAUAACUGUUAUUCUCAUGAAUGUUUUUCUUCUUUUUUUCCCAGGACCGAAGAACAGGGGAUCCUUAUUGUUAGCAAAAUAAUGAGCAUGAAGCUAUGUUCAAACUCUCAGUCCUUGUAUCAGCUACUUUGUUCUUUUUACAUUCGUCUUUGCUGACUUCUAUGAUACUCAAAUUCAAGUUUAGUAACCCGAAAAAGCUGAAAUUUGUCAGUUAUAAAAUAAAAACUUCAGCAGCUUCAGAGAAAAGAUUACACCUUUGUAGCAUAAGAAAUGAAAAUGCUGCCAUUGGUUUUUUCUCUCUCUCAAAAAGAACUUGAAAGCUCAAGACUG